rnacentral:rRNA from 1 species
UGAGUAACACGUGGGUAACCUGCCUGUAAGACUGGGAUAACUCCGGGAAACCGGGGCUAAUACCGGAUGCUUGAUUGAACCGCAUGGUUCCAAUCAUAAAAGGUGGCUUUUAGCUACCACUUACAGAUGGACCCGCGGCGCAUGAGCUAGUUGGUGAGGUAACGGCUCACCAAGGCGACGAUGCGUAGCCGACCUGAGAGGGUGAUCGGCCACACUGGGACUGAGACACGGCCCAGACUCCUACGGGAGGCAGCAGUAGGGGAAUCUUCCGCAAUGGACGAAAGUCUGACGGAGCAACGCCGCGUGAGUGAUGAAGGUUUUCGGAUCGUAAAACUCUGUUGUUAGGGAAGAACCAAGUACCGUUCGAAUAGGGCGGCACCUUGACGGUACCUAACCAGAAAGCCACGGCUAACUACGUGCCAGCAGCCGCGGUAAUACGUAGGUGGCAAGCGUUGUCCGGAAUUAUUGGGCGUAAAGCGCGCGCAGGCGGUUUCUUAAGUCUGAUGUGAAAGCCCCCGGCUCAACCGGGGAGGGUCAUUGGAAACUGGGGAACUUGAGUGCAGAAGAGGAGAGUGGAAUUCCACGUGUAGCGGUGAAAUGCGUAGAGAUGUGGAGGACACCAGUGGCGAAG